AAAAAAACUAAAUUUGACUCUGUAAAAUAACUUUAAAUGUCCUUUACUAGUGAAGGAUCUAGCAGUCCACUAUGAUCAAGAAAUUAUGGAAAAGGAAAUAUACAGAAAAAAGAAUCCCAUCACAUGGUACUAUGCAGUGUUCUGCAUUCUAGUAAAACAUCAGAGGUUCUACACAUUUGACAUAAUACUCUGUUUACCUGCAUAAGCAGCAGCCCAACUAUAAAAGCACUUCCUUGACAGUAUCCAACCUCACGAUCCACUAAAGAAUAAGCCUAGAAGAUAAAAAUCUUUAAGAUUUUGAAAAGCAACAAUUAAAACACUUAUUUCCACACUGGUUGCUGUUUUUCUGCUUUUGUUUUUAACUGCUAAAGGUAACGGUCAACUUUUAUCCAACCCUUUCAGUAGGCAGAAGCUUAAAAUGCCAAGCAAAGUGACUUGUGCUUAAAAUGAACACAAUACUUGAGCGGUUAACCUCUGAAAUAAAACAGACACGGUCCUUCCUGUUGGAGCAGUCAUCUGACAACUGAAGCUAUUUUGGAUCAGCGUCUAAAGAGCAAGCUCCCAAGGGCAGAUUAAAGGUGUAAAGGCUGGUUAGAGCAGAGGACUUGGGAAGGGAAGCCCAACCUAACACCUAUGCUUCAAGCAUGGAGAUAUCCUUUACCAGAGAAGCAUCCACCUCCAUCAAAAGAUGACUAGAAGAAAGUCCUUCAGUCUCAUCUUUGGAUCCUGAGGCAAGCAGGGAGACAGACCAGUACUGCAGUCACAUUGACUAUCUGAGGUUAUAUCUCUGGAUGGCAAAGGAGCCAAAAUGGGAGUCCAAUGUAGAGUGGAUGCAGGAAACAAGAAUUGCACACUCUUCAAGUAAUCCAUCUAGCUGCAAAUGUUUCUCCUUCGCAGAGGCUAGUGAACAUUAGAAAGAGAAAAUGGAGGAC